rnacentral:lncRNA from 1 species
GAGAUCAACCAAUGAAAAUAAAGUCAGGGAACUACUUCUGGGGGCUGUACAUGUACCACAAAAAGUAAUCCAUAGUUUUUUCUGUUUUAUAUCAGAGUAAUCUUCAAAAUUUAUGAGUAUGUGAUUGAAUGGAAUAAAAUCUUCCUCUAGUACAAAAAUAUUUUAACAUCAUAGAUGUAUCAUUACCUUCAUUAGCUGACUGUAAAUGGCACAUUUGCCCAAGAAUAUCAAAAUUUCAAAUCUACACAGGAAGUUCUUUGACAGAGAGCAGAGAAUAGAGUAAAUAUUUGGGAGAGUGUUUCCCUAAAUAUUUUACUAUGUGCAGCUUAUUUCAUCUUGGAAGUUAACAAUAAUUAACAGAAUGCACCAGGUAUAGCAUCAUAUGUGUAUAUAAAGUAUCAGCACACAUGAAUGAAUUGAGACAUGUUUAGUGACCCAAUGUAUUGUGUUCAAAGGCUCCAUCCAACAGUUCAAAGACAUGUCGUAGCAGUGGAGCAAAUGGUGGCAAAUGAUGGCUUUGUGGUGGUUAGUGAAAAACU